rnacentral:rRNA from 1 species
CUACGGGGGGCUGCAGUGAGGAAUAUUGCACAAUGGGGGGAACCCUGAUGCAGCAACGCCGCGUGGAGGAUGACGCAUUUCGGUGUGUAAACUCCUUUUAUAUGUCAAGAAAAUGACGGUAGCAUAUGAAUAAGCACCGGCUAACUCCGUGCCAGCAGCCGCGGUAAUACGGAGGGUGCAAGCGUUACUCGGAAUCACUGGGCGUAAAGGACGCGUAGGCGGGUUGGAAAGUCAGGUGUGAAAUCCUACAGCUUAACUGUAGAACUGCACUUGAAACUUCUAAUCUAGAGUAUGGGAGGGGGAGAUGGAAUUAGUGGUGUAGGGGUAAUAUCCGUAGAUAUCACUAGGAAUACCUAAAGCGAAGGCGAUCUCCUGGAACAUUACCGACGCUAAGGCGUGAAAGCGUGGGGAGCAAACAGGAUUAGAUACCCCUGUAGUC